CUCUACGACAGAGCAUAUCCAUUAUUUCCAUUAUAGAGCCAAUCACACUGCUCUCUCUCUUUCCGGCCGGUAUGUAGAAUCGUCGGAGCGAUCAGAGCAAGCGGUUCAAAGAGCUUCCAAAAGAAUGCCUGUCUGAGAGGGUCUCGUCCGGGAAAAGAAAGGUUAAAGAGUCAGUCGGCUUGCCACGCUUGCCUUACCUCAGAGAUGAAGCCGAAGGAAAAAACCUGAUGGUAUGUAGAAUCAUCGGAGCGAUCAUAGCAAGCGGUUCAAAGAGCUUCCAAAAGAAUGCCUGUCUGAGAGGGUCUCAUCCGGGAAAAGAAAGCUUAAAGAGUCAGUCUGCUUCCCACGCUUGCCUUACCUCAGAGAUGAAGCCGAAGAAAAAAACCUGAGGAGUUGUUCUCCUCUGAGGGAGUGGAAACCGUCUCUCCUUCUUAUUGAUAGCAUUGGUCUCGGCCCUCGCUGGGCAAGUUCACUCUUUCUGCUGCUGUUCCGGGG
rnacentral:lncRNA from 1 species